rnacentral:rRNA from 1 species
CCCUUAGAUGUUCUGGGCCGCACGCGCGCUACACUGACAUGUUGAACAAGUUUUUUUUCUUUUUUUACGAGGAAAAAGUCCUUAUCCGGAAGGAUUGGGUAAUCUUUUGAAUCCAUGUCGUGAUGGGGCUAGAUUCUUGCAAUUAUUAAUCUCCAACGAGGAAUUCCUAGUAAACGCAAGUCAUCAGCUUGCAUUGAAUACGUCCCUGCCCUUUGUACACACCGCCCGUCGCACCUACCGAUUGAACGAUCCGGUGAACUCGUUGGAUAUGUUGUAUUGGAUGAAAGUUUGAUGUAGCGUAGAAAUCGAGUAAACCUUAUCGUUUAGAGGAAGGUGAAGUCGUANCA